GCAAGGGGAGCGGCAGACGGGUGAGUAACGCGUGGGAACGUACCUUUUGCUACGGAAUAACUCAGGGAAACUUGUGCUAAUACCGUAUGUGCCCUUCGGGGAAAGAUUUAUCGGCAAAGGAUCGGCCCGCGUUGGAUUAGCUAGUUGGUGAGGUAAAGGCUCACCAAGGCGACGAUCCAUAGCUGGUCUGAGAGGAUGAUCAGCCACACUGGGACUGAGACACGGCCCAGACUCCUACGGGAGGCAGCAGCA
rnacentral:rRNA from 1 species